CGGCGGACGGGUGAGUAACACGUGGGUAACCUACCUAUAAGACUGGGAUAACUCCGGGAAACCGGGGCUAAUACCGGAUAACACAUGAAACCGCAUGGUUUCAUGAUGAAAGACGGUUUUGCUGUCACUUAUAGAUGGACCCGCGGCGUAUUAGCUAGUUGGUAAGGUAACAGCUUACCAAGGCAACGAUGCGUAGCCGACCUGAGAGGGUGAUCGGCCACACUGGAACUGAGACACGGUCCAG
rnacentral:rRNA from 1 species